rnacentral:siRNA from 1 species
AACGACGCCAAAUUUGAUGUCGGU